GAACCGGACGAACGUUUAUUCGGAAUUACUGGGCUUAAAGAGUGCGUAGGCGGUCUGGCAGGUUGGGUGUGAAAUCCCUCGGCUCAACCGAGGAACUGCGCUCAAAACCGCCAGACUGGAGGCAGAUAGGGGUGAGCGGAACUCACGGUGGAGCGGUGAAAUGCGUUGAUAUCGUGAGGAACACCGGUGGCGAAAGCGGCUCACUGGGUCUGUCCUAACGCUGAGGCACGAAAGCUAGGGGAGCGAACGGGAUUAGAUACCCCGGUAGUCCUAGCUGUAAACGAUGAGCACUUGGCCCGUGGGGGCCCUUCACACCCUUCUCGGCCGUAGCGAAAGUGUUAAGUGCUCCGCCUGGGGAGUAUGGUCGCAAGGCUGA
rnacentral:rRNA from 1 species